rnacentral:rRNA from 1 species
AUUGAACGCUGGCGGCAUGCCUUACACAUGCAAGUCGAACGGCAGCACGGGAGCUUGCUCCUGGUGGCGAGUGGCGAACGGGUGAGUAAUACAUCGGAACGUACCCUGAAGUGGGGGAUAACGUAGCGAAAGUUACGCUAAUACCGCAUAUUCUGUGAGCAGGAAAGAGGGGGAUCGCAAGACCUCUUGCUUUAGGAGCGGCCGAUGUCGGAUUAGCUAGUUGGUGAGGUAAAGGCUCACCAAGGCGACGAUCCGUAGCGGGUCUGAGAGGAUGAUCCGCCACACUGGGACUGAGACACGGCCCAGACUCCUACGGGAGGCAGCAGUGGGGAAUUUUGGGACAAUGGGCGCAAGCCUGAUCCAGCCAUGCCGCGUGAGUGAAGAAGGCCUCGGGUUGUAAAGUCUCUUUCGGUGGGGUAAGGAAAUUGACUUCGGUUAAUACCUAGGAGUAGA